GGGUUGUGAGGUUAAGCGACUAAGCGUACACGGUGGAUGCCCUGGCAGUCAGAGGCGAUGAAGGACGUGCUAAUCUGCGAAAAGCGUCGGUAAGGUGAUAUGAACCGUUAUAGCCGGCGAUGUCCGAAUGGGGAAACCCAGUGCAAUUCGUUGCACUAUCGUUAACUGAAUACAUAGGUUAACGAGGCGAACCGGGGGAACUGAAACAUCUAAGUACCCCGAGGAAAAGAAAUCAACCGAGAUUCCCCCAGUAGCGGCGAGCGAACGGGGAGCAGCCCAGAGUCUGAAUCAGCUUGUGUGUUAGUGGAACGGUCUGGAAAGUCCGACGGUACAGGGUGAUAGUCCCGUACACCAAAAUGCACAGGUUGUGAACUCGAAGAGUAGGGCGGGACACGUGGUAUCCUGUCUGAAUAUGGGGGGACCAUCCUCCAAGGCUAAAUACUCCUGACUGACCGAUAGUGAACCAGUACCGUGAGGGAAAGGCGAAAAGAACCCCGGCGAGGGGAGUGAAAAAGAACCUGAAACCGUGUACGUACAAGCAGUGGGAGCACCUUCGGGUGUGACUGCGUACCUUUUGUAUAAUGGGUCAGCGACUUAUAUUCUGUAGCAAGGUUAACCGUAUAGGGGAGCCGCAGGGAAACCGAGUCUUAACUGGGCGUUAAGUUGCAGGGUAUAGACCCGAAACCCGGUGAUCUAGCCAUGGGCAGGUUGAAGGUUGGGUAACACUAACUGGAGGACCGAACCGACUAAUGUUGAAAAAUUAGCGGAUGACUUGUGGCUGGGGGUGAAAGGCCAAUCAAACCGGGAGAUAGCUGGUUCUCCCCGAAAGCUAUUUAGGUAGCGCCUCGUGAACUCAUCUUCGGGGGUAGAGCACUGUUUCGGCUAGGGGGUCAUCCCGACUUACCAACCCGAUGCAAACUACGAAUACCGAAGAAUGUUAUCACGGGAGACACACGGCGGGUGCUAACGUCCGUCGUGAAGAGGGAAACAACCCAGACCGCCAGCUAAGGUCCCAAAGUCAUGGUUAAGUGGGAAACGAUGUGGGAAGGCACAGACAGCCAGGAUGUUGGCUUAGAAGCAGCCAUCAUUUAAAGAAAGCGUAAUAGCUCACUGGUCGAGUCGGCCUGCGCGGAAGAUGUAACGGGGCUAAACCAUGCACCGAAGCUGCGGCAGCGACACUAUGUGUUGUUGGGUAGGGGAGCGUUCUGUAAGCCUGCGAAGGUGUGCUGUGAGGCAUGCUGGAGGUAUCAGAAGUGCGAAUGCUGACAUAAGUAACGAUAAAGCGGGUGAAAAGCCCGCUCGCCGGAAGACCAAGGGUUCCUGUCCAACGUUAAUCGGGGCAGGGUGAGUCGACCCCUAAGGCGAGGCCGAAAGGCGUAGUCGAUGGGAAACAGGUUAAUAUUCCUGUACUUGGUGUUACUGCGAAGGGGGGACGGAGAAGGCUAUGUUAGCCGGGCGACGGUUGUCCCGGUUUAAGCAUGUAGGCUGAUUGUCCAGGCAAAUCCGGAUAAUCAAGGCUGAGGUGUGAUGACGAGGCACUACGGUGCUGAAGUAACAAAUGCCCUGCUUCCAGGAAAAGCCUCUAAGCAUCAGGUAACAUCAAAUCGUACCCCAAACCGACACAGGUGGUCAGGUAGAGAAUACCAAGGCGCUUGAGAGAACUCGGGUGAAGGAACUAGGCAAAAUGGUGCCGUAACUUCGGGAGAAGGCACGCUGGUGUGUAGGUGAAGCCCCUGCGGGUGGAGCUGAGACCAGUCGAAGAUACCAGCUGGCUGCAACUGUUUAUUAAAAACACAGCACUGUGCAAACACGAAAGUGGACGUAUACGGUGUGACGCCUGCCCGGUGCCGGAAGGUUAAUUGAUGGGGUUAUCCGUAAGGAGAAGCUCUUGAUCGAAGCCCCGGUAAACGGCGGCCGUAACUAUAACGGUCCUAAGGUAGCGAAAUUCCUUGUCGGGUAAGUUCCGACCUGCACGAAUGGCGUAAUGAUGGCCAGGCUGUCUCCACCCGAGACUCAGUGAAAUUGAACUCGCUGUGAAGAUGCAGUGUACCCGCGGCAAGACGGAAAGACCCCGUGAACCUUUACUAUAGCUUGACACUGAACAUUGAGCCUUGAUGUGUAGGAUAGGUGGGAGGCUUUGAAGCGUGGACGCCAGUCUGCGUGGAGCCAACCUUGAAAUACCACCCUUUAAUGUUUGAUGUUCUAACGUUGGCCCCUUACCGGGGUUGCGGACAGUGUCUGGUGGGUAGUUUGACUGGGGCGGUCUCCUCCCAAAGCGUAACGGAGGAGCACGAAGGUUAGCUAAUCCUGGUCGGACAUCAGGAGGUUAGUGCAAUGGCAUAAGCUAGCUUGACUGCGAGCGUGACGGCGCGAGCAGGUGCGAAAGCAGGUCAUAGUGAUCCGGUGGUUCUGAAUGGAAGGGCCAUCGCUCAACGGAUAAAAGGUACUCCGGGGAUAACAGGCUGAUACCGCCCAAGAGUUCAUAUCGACGGCGGUGUUUGGCACCUCGAUGUCGGCUCAUCACAUCCUGGGGCUGAAGUAGGUCCCAAGGGUAUGGCUGUUCGCCAUUUAAAGUGGUACGCGAGCUGGGUUUAGAACGUCGUGAGACAGUUCGGUCCCUAUCUGCCGUGGGCGCUGGAGAAUUGAGGGGGGCUGCUCCUAGUACGAGAGGACCGGAGUGGACGCAUCACUGGUGUUCGGGUUGUCAUGCCAAUGGCACUGCCCGGUAGCUAAAUGCGGAAGAGAUAAGUGCUGAAAGCAUCUAAGCACGAAACUUGCCCCGAGAUGAGUUCUCCCUGAGACUUUAAGUCUCCUGAAGGAACGUUGAAGACGACGACGUUGAUAGGCCGGGUGUGUAAGCGCAGCGAUGCGUUGAGCUAACCGGUACUAAUGAACCGUGAGGCUUAACCUUACAACGCCGAAG
rnacentral:rRNA from 2 species